CUACGGGUGGCAGCAGUGGGGAAUAUUUGACAAUGGGGGGAACCCUGAUCCAGCGACGCCGCGUGAGUGAAGAAGUAUUUCGGUAUGUAAAGCUCUAUCAGCAGGGAAGAAAGAAAUGACGGUACCUGACUAAGAAGCCCCGGCUAACUACGUGCCAGCAGCCGCGGCAAUACGUAGGGGGGAAGCGUUAUCCGGAUUUACUGGGUGUAAAGGGAGCGUAGACGGGGAUGCAAGUCUGAAGGGAAAGGCGGGGGCCCAACCCCCGGACUGCUUUGGAAACUGGAUGGCUGGAGUGCGGGAGAGGUAAGUGGAAUGCGUGGUGUAGCGGUGAAAGGCGUAGAUAUUAGGAGGAACACCGGUGGCGAAGGCGGCUUACUGGACUGUAACUGACGUUGAGGCUCGAAAGCGUGGGGAGCGAACAGGAUUAGAUACCCGGGUAGUC
rnacentral:rRNA from 1 species